AUGAGCCACAUGCAAGGAAACUUGCACGUGUGGUUCUGGAAGGGAACCCCAGUAUACUGUACUAAUAUGUGUAGGUUCCCGUAAUUCGAGUAAGAUUGUCAUGGCGCAAAAGCAGAUAUGGUCCAGUAUUCCCUUAUUUUCUGUAUUGGUUAUGUUCUUUAUAUCUCGU
rnacentral:ncRNA from 1 species